ACUGCUCAGUAACACGUGGGUAACCUGCCCUAUGCUGGAUAAUAACCUCGGGAAACUGAGAAUAAUGAUCCAUAGUUCACUACGCCUGGAACGGUGAGUGGAUGAAAGCUCCGGCGGCAUAGGAUGGGCCUGCGGCGUAUCAGGUUGUAGGGGGUGUAACGUACCCUCUAGCCCUCUACGCGUACGGGUGUUGGGAGACAUAGCCCGGAGAUGGAUUCUGAGACACGAAUCCAGACCCUACGGGGUGCAGCAGGCGCGAAAACUUGGCAAUGCGAGAAAUCGUGACCAGGGAACUCCAAGUGCAUCGGGUAAGACCGGUGCUUUUCUUGACUCUAAAUAGGUCUUGGAAUAAGGGGUGGGUAAGGACGGUGCCAGCCGCCGCGGUAAUACCGGCGCCUCAAGUGGUAGUCGCUUUUAUUGGGCCUAAAACGUCCGUAGCCGGUCUGAUACAUUCGUGGGUAAAUCAACCAGCUUAACUGGUUGAAUUCUGCGAGGACGGUCAGACUUGGGACCGGGAGAGGUGUGGGGUACGCUCAGGGUAGGGGUAAAAUCCUGUCAUCCUGAGCGGACCACCUGUUGCGAAGGCGCCACACUAGAACGGAUCCGACGGUCAGGGACGAAGCCUAGGGGCACGAACCGGAUUAGAUACCCGGGUGGUCCUAGGUGUAAACGCUGUGGACUUGAUGUUGGGGGUGCUCCGAGCACUCUCAGUGUCGAAGCGAAGGUGAUAAGUCCACUGCCUGGGAAGUACGGUCGCAAGGCUGAAACUUAAAGGAAUUGGCGGGGGAGCAC
rnacentral:rRNA from 1 species